rnacentral:tRNA from 1 species
AGCCCCGUGGUGUAGAGCACAUCGAAUUGCAAAUUCGAAGACGCAGGUUAAUACUCUGCCGGGGCUU